GGUCCCGCCUGCCCUGUGACAAUGUUUAACGGCCGCGGUAUUUUGACCGUGCGAAGGUAGCGUAAUCACUUGUCUUUUAAAUGAAGACCCGUAUGAAAGGCAUUACGAGAGUUUAACUGUCUCUAUUUUCUAAUCAAUGAAAUUGAUCUUCUCGUGCAGAAGCGAGAAUAUUAACAUUAGACGAGAAGACCCUAUGGAGCUUUAAACACAUAAAUUAAUUAUGUAAAAUUAUAAAUCUAUGGACAUAAACCAUUUAUAUAAUAUUCCUAAUUUAACUGUUUUUGGUUGGGGUGACCAAGGGGAAAAGAAAAUCCCCCUUAUCGAUUGAGUAUCUUAAUACUUAAAAAUUAGAACGACAGUUCUUAUUAAUAAAAUAUUUACCGAAGAAUGACCCAGUUUUUCUGAUCAAUGAACCAAGUUACCCUAGGGAUAACAGCGCAAUCCUUUCCAAGAGUCCAUAUCGCCGAAAGGGUUUACGACCUCGAUGUUGGAUCAGGACAUCCUAAUAGUGCAACCGUUAUUAAGGGUUCGUUUGUUCAACGAUUAAUAGUCCUACGUGAUCUGAGUU
rnacentral:rRNA from 1 species